rnacentral:rRNA from 1 species
GAUGAACGCUAGCUACAGGCUUAACACAUGCAAGUCGAGGGGAAACGGCAUUUAGUGCUUGCACCGAAUGGACGUCGACCGGCGCACGGGUGAGUAACGCGUAUCCAACCUUCCCACAACUAAGGAAUAACCUGCCGAAAGGCAGACUAAUACCUUAUGUAAUCCUUUGAUGGCAUCAGAUAAGGAUAAAAGAUUUAUCGGUUAUGGAUGGGGAUGCGUCUGAUUAGUUUGUUGGCGGGGUAACGGCCCACCAAGGCAACGAUCAGUAGGGGUUCUGAGAGGAAGGUCCCCCACAUUGGAAUGAGACACGGUCCAAACUCCUACGGGAGGCAGCAGUGAGGAAUAUUGGUCAAUGGACGGAAGUCUGAACCAGCCAAGUAGCGUGCAGGAAGACGGCCCUAUGGGUUGUAAACUGCUUUUGUACGGGGAUAAAGUCAAUCACGUGUGAUUGUUUGCAGGUACCAUACG